rnacentral:rRNA from 1 species
AUGGCAGAAAUAUGCUCGUGGCGCGGGAUAGGUGACGGCGCUCACGUUGGGCCCAGAGGCCGGUUGGGUGGAGGAGACGAACCGGGCAGGGUUCACGCGGACCGGGGCGAGGUUGGACCGGGCUGGUUCUCGGGAAAAUCGGCCGGUUCAACCGGGUCUUGGCGGUCCAGGGUGGGUUGGAGGCGAACCGGCCCGGUCAACGGCAGCGAGACAAGUUCGUUCGUCUCUAGGACGAAGCCGACGCAGAGGUUGGGCAUGGCGCCGGCAGGACUUGACGCGGACGAGGCAAGAAGGGCGGAGGCCGUCGGGAACGGAGCAGAUCGGCGCGAGGCUGGAUGGAUCCGGCGAAGAACGACCAGAUCUGAUGGGAUGCGAAGCUUGGUGACCCAAGGCGGCGAGCUCCAGUCUUCGGGCGCCCAUGGCGGAACUGCAGGGGACAGAGGGAGUGAGGAAGGGAGAAAGAGAGGAGAGGAAAAAGCAGGGCGCUGGGGCACUGGCCUGGCGGCGGAGCGCCCAUGGUCGACGGCCGGCGCAAGGAACGGCGGCAUUCCGGUGGCCUCGAGCGACGAGGACAGACGGGAGGUGCACGGCGACGAGCUCGGGAUCGAGCGACGAGCUUGGGGACGAGCUGCGGGCCGCGGAUGGGCCAAGCGGGCCCGCACGAUGGGAGGCGCGGCUGAAGCGACGGGGAGCCAGGUGGCGGCCUGCGGCAGGCCGAUCCGGCGACUGGGUGGCUGGCAAGUGGCGCUGGAGAGGUGGCUGGCGCCGAAUUUGGAGGGGAAGGCGGCUGGUGGCACGGAAUUUGAGAAGGGAGGCGGCAGGGAGGUAGGGGAAGAGCUAGGCUGCCAAAUUUGGAAGGGAUUGUCCAUAUAUAGGCAGGGAUGGCUAGGGUUUGGGUUUAGGGGGGUUUUAGGAGCGUCUCGGAGCCUCCGAUCGCGAUCUGACGGUCCAGCACGGAGGGGGGGUUCAGAUGGGCUGCAGGUGGGUUGUGAAAAGAGGUUGGGCUGA